GGGACACGUGGUAUCCUGUCUGAAUAUGGGGGGACCAUCCUCCAAGGCUAAAUACUCCUGACUGACCGAUAGUGAACCAGUACCGUGAGGGAAAGGCGAAAAGAACCCCGGCGAGGGGAGUGAAAAAGAACCUGAAACCGUGUACGUACAAGCAGUGGGAGCACCCUUUUGGGUGUGACUGCGUACCUUUUGUAUAAUGGGUCAGCGACUUAUAUUCUGUAGCAAGGUUAACCGAAUAGGGGAGCCGGAGGGAAACCGAGUCUUAAUUGGGCGUUAAGUUGCAGGGUAUAGACCCGAAACCCGGUGAUCUAGCCAUGGGCAGGUUGAAGGUUGGGUAACACUAACUGGAGGACCGAACCGACUAAUGUUGAAAAAUUAGCGGAUGACCUGUGGCUGGGGGUGAAAGGCCAAUCAAACCGGGAGAUAGCUGGUUCUCCCCGAAAGCUAUUUAGGUAGCGCCUCGUGAACUCAUCUCCGGGGGUAGAGCACUGUUUCGGCUAGGGGGCCAUCCCGGCUUACCAACCCGAUGCAAACUGCGAAUACCGGAGAAUGUUAUCACGGGAGACACACGGCGGGUGCUAACGUCCGUCGUGAAGAGGGAAACAACCCAGACCGCCAGCUAAGGUCCCAAAGUCAUGGUUAAGUGGGAAACGAUGUGGGAAGGCCCAGACAGCCAGGAUGUUGGCUUAGAAGCAGCCAUCAUUUAAAGAAAGCGUAAUAGCUCACUGGUCGAGUCGGCCUGCGCGGAAGAUGUAACGGGGCUAAACCAUGCACCGAAGCUGCGGCAGCGACGCUCAGGCGUUGUUGGGUAGGGGAGCGUUCUGUAAGCCUGUGAAGGUGGCCUGUGAGGGUUGCUGGAGGUAUCAGAAGUGCGAAUGCUGACAUAAGUAACGAUAAAGCGGGUGAAAAGCCCGCUCGCCGGAAGACCAAGGGUUCCUGUCCAACGUUAAUCGGGGCAGGGUGAGUCGACCCCUAAGGCGAGGCCGAAAGGCGUAGUCGAUGGGAAACGGGUUAAUAUUCCCGUACUUGGUGUUACUGCGAAGGGGGGACGGAGAAGGCUAUGUUGGCCGGGCGACGGUUGUCCCGGUUUAAGCGUGUAGGUGUGUGUUCCAGGUAAAUCCGGUUCACUUUAACACUGAGGCGUGACGACGAGGCACUACGGUGCUGAAGCAACAAAUGCCCUGCUUCCAGGAAAAGCCUCUAAGCAUCAGGUAACAUCAAAUCGUACCCCAAACCGACACAGGUGGUCAGGUAGAGAAUACCAAGGCGCUUGAGAGAACUCGGGUGAAGGAACUAGGCAAAAUGGUGCCGUAACUUCGGGAGAAGGCACGCUGACACGUAGGUGAAGUGAUUUACUCAUGGAGCUGAAGUCAGUCGAAGAUACCAGCUGGCUGCAACUGUUUAUUAAAAACACAGCACUGUGCAAACACGAAAGUGGACGUAUACGGUGUGACGCCUGCCCGGUGCCGGAAGGUUAAUUGAUGGGGUCAGCGCAAGCGAAGCUCCUGAUCGAAGCCCCGGUAAACGGCGGCCGUAACUAUAACGGUCCUAAGGUAGCGAAAUUCCUUGUCGGGUAAGUUCCGACCUGCACGAAUGGCGUAAUGAUGGCCAGGCUGUCUCCACCCGAGACUCAGUGAAAUUGAACUCGCUGUGAAGAUGCAGUGUACCCGCGGCAAGACGGAAAGACCCCGUGAACCUUUACUAUAGCUUGACACUGAACAUUGAGCCUUGAUGUGUAGGAUAGGUGGGAGGCUUUGAAGCGUGGACGCCAGUCUGCGUGGAGCCGACCUUGAAAUACCACCCUUUAAUGUUUGAUGUUCUAACGUGGACCCGUUACCCGGGUUGCGGACAGUGUCUGGUGGGUAGUUUGACUGGGGCGGUCUCCUCCUAAAGAGUAACGGAGGAGCACGAAGGUUGGCUAAUCCUGGUCGGACAUCAGGAGGUUAGUGCAAUGGCAUAAGCCAGCUUGACUGCGAGCGUGACGGCGCGAGCAGGUGCGAAAGCAGGUCAUAGUGAUCCGGUGGUUCUGAAUGGAAGGGCCAUCGCUCAACGGAUAAAAGGUACUCCGGGGAUAACAGGCUGAUACCGCCCAAGAGUUCAUAUCGACGGCGGUGUUUGGCACCUCGAUGUCGGCUCAUCACAUCCUGGGGCUGAAGUAGGUCCCAAGGGUAUGGCUGUUCGCCAUUUAAAGUGGUACGCGAGCUGGGUUUAGAACGUCGUGAGACAGUUCGGUCCCUAUCUGCCGUGGGCGCUGGAGAACUGAGGGGGGCUGCUCCUAGUACGAGAGGACCGGAGUGGACGCAUCACUGGUGUUCGGGUUGUCAUGCCAAUGGCACUGCCCGGUAGCUAAAUGCGGAAGAGAUAAGUGCUGAAAGCAUCUAAGCACGAAACUUGCCCCGA
rnacentral:rRNA from 2 species